rfam:Camelus ferus unplaced genomic scaffold scaffold2038, whole genome shotgun sequence.
GAGGGUACAGCUCAAGUGGUAGAGCACACACUUAGCAUGCACGAGGUCCUGGGUUCAAUCCCCAGUACCUCCU